UAACACAUGCAAGUCGAACGAGGGCUUCGGCCCUAGUGGCGCACGGGUGAGUAACGCGUGGGAACCUGCCCUGUGGUACGGAAUAACUCCGGGAAACUGGAGCUAAUACCGUAUGUGUCCUGCGGGACAAAGAUUUAUCGCCAUGGGAUGGGCCCGCGUAGGAUUAGCUUGUUGGUGGGGUAACGGCCUACCAAGGCAACGAUCCUUAGCUGGUCUGAGAGGAUGAUCAGCCACACUGGGACUGAGACACGGCCCAGACUCCUACGGGAGGCAGCAGUGGGGAAUAUUGGACAAUGGGCGCAAGCCUGAUCCAGCAAUGCCGCGUGAGUGAUGAAGGCCUUCGGGUUGUAAAGCUCUUUCGCACGCGACGAUGAUGACGGUAGCGUGAGAAGAAGCCCCGGCUAACUUCGUGCCAGCAGCCGCGGUAAUACGAAGGGGGCUAGCGUUGUUCGGAAUUACUGGGCGUAAAGGGCGCGUAGGCGGUACUUCAAGUCAGGCGUGAAAGCCCCGGGCUCAACCUGGGAACCGCGCUUGAGAUUGGAGAACUAGAGUUCGGGAGAGGAUGGUGGAAUUCCCAGUGUAGAGGUGAAAUUCGUAGAUAUUGGGAAGAACACCGAUGGCGAAGGCAGCCAUCUGGACCGACACUGAC
rnacentral:rRNA from 1 species